UCCAGAUUCUAAUGCACACAGUACAGCUGCAUUGAUGGGUCCGUUAAAGGUUUCAAAGUGACUGAUUCCUACUCUGAGUGUCCUCUCCAUCCCCUCCCCCACCAUCUCUCCAUACAGAGACACACACAUCACCAGCUCCCAUGUCAUGAGGACACCAGGCAGCCUAUGGGGAGGUCCCCACAGUAAGGACCCAAAGCCUGCCAGCAGUGUUCUUGGACAUGGAGCUUCUGCAGCCUGCCAGUGGCCUCAUGGAUGGACUCAGAAGUGGAUCCUUCAGCUCCAGUGGAGACUUGGGAUGACCACUGCCCCAGCCCAUAGCUCUGCUGCAACCUCCUGAGAGGCUCUGAGCCAGAGGCUCCCAGCAGCUAGCCCACGCCUGGAUACCUGCUCUGCAGAAACUGGUAAUCCAUGAUUGUUGGUUUAAGCCACUAGGUGUUGGAUCAUUUGCUCCGCAGCAAUAGAUAGCUAAUACACAAAGCAUCCCACCCCCACCCCCAGCCACAGCCUUUUGAAGAUUCCAUUGCCUCACACACAGUUGAUUGCUGAUCUGCCAUCUCAGCAGCUUCAGUCACCAGCUGCUUUUGGCAGAGACUCCACAGGCACAGUCAGGGAGAACUGGCCUUGCAAGACAGGACUUCCUUGUCUUGGUGGAGACAGGGAGUAGGCUGGCUCAUUGGUCUCAUUCCUCUGAAGGUGAGUGGAUGGAGCUAGAGGGAAGGAGCUAGAGGAAGUCUUCAGCAAGGGGGCUCGAGCCUCAUUUUGCAACUCUGCCCUGGGUUCUAUACAAAGGCAACACCCUUGAGCCACAGGAGAUUGUUAGCCCUGUCUUACAAGUAAAGGGAUGGCGGCAUGGAGAGUGUAGCUGGGUUGUCCAGGUUCACACUAGGCAAAGUGGAGAAUGGAAUUCUGUCUUGGCUCUGUCUUUCUUCGGGACUUGGUGGGCUUCCUGUGGCUCUCUGAGAUGGAUUAUGGCAGACUUCAUCUAGUGCAUGAAGUCUUUUUCCAGCUAACCUUACAUGGUGCUUAGUAAUAUAGAUCUAUGGUGCCAUCCAGUCCUAAUGAUAAUGGCACAGGAGGGUCUCUGGUUCCCAUGUGAUAGAGCCCAGGUGGCUGAGUUGGACUUGACCCCUUGGCUGACUCCAAAGUCUGCACUGUCACCCACUGCCCAGGUCUUCUUGCCCCAGGGAGUCUACCCUUGGCCUCCAGCCCUGCAGUGCCAGCCUCCCACACUGGGCGGGAAUUGUGUAAAGAGCUCAGUGCUGUGGGUUCUGUACUGCUCAACUGUACACAAACCCACAGCACUGGACUGUUCACACAGCUCCCACCCAGGGUCAACAGGAAAAGGAGCUGGUCAGCAGGACCCAAGACGUCCCCAAGCCAUCCUAGAGUGGCCCUUUGUGCAUGCUUCAUUCCCACCCUUAUUUACUGUUUGCUGAUUUUCAGUGGCUUUUCUCAACACCUCAUUAUCUAGGGAAAGGCCUGCGCCCUUGCCAAGGCUGGCUUGCUCAAACUUCACCUGACCCUGGGCUCUCCACCCAGGGAGGCAAACAGCCAUAAUUCUGCAGUCUCCUCUCUCUUUCUUGGUCUGUUGAUUGGCAGAGUUUUCUUGAGUCUAGGGACCUGACCCUCUUAAUCUCUACUUACUAAUUCUGAGAACUUUCUUUCCUCUGUUGAAAUAAAUUCUCUUCUAAUCAACGAUGUUUGCCUUCUCAUCGAUAUUGCCCACCAUUGAUCACAGGUGUUUAUCUUUUCUUCCAAUUAAAAUAAGCACUGCAGCCUUAAGUGCUUGAUAACAAAAGAACAGCUAUCCUUUAUUGCAAUUUAAUAAACUGCACUCAGCAAGUGUUUAUAAUGUUAUUUAUUAAUUCCUACAUGGCCCUGGAGAACUAGCACUAACUGCUCUUUAUAAAUGUGGCCUCCAAAGCUGACAGAAGUGUCACAAGCCAUUCCAGAUCACGUGGACCUUCCUUCAUGUUAAGUAAAUGGCCAAGAAGCUGGUAUUUGGUCCUGCUCUGCCUAAGCCUAGACUUUGGCUCCUGCUUUAAACAUGAUCUCUAGUGUCAUUAAAUUGUAGCAUAAAAUGUCAGAAGGCCAGACUGAGAGAAAUCUCAGUUUAUGUGACAAAUGUCUCAGAUUUUAAGUGAGCCGUGGCUCAAAUAGUUGAUUGACUCACAGGCUAUAUUCCUAAGACAAUGUCCAUGUCACAGGUCCUGAUAUUUGGCUUGUCCAGGCACAUCUGAGGAGCACAACAGAGGCCUCAGCUCCAUGGGGGCAGCCUUGCAAAUUCAGCAGAAGUCCCAAGGAGAUGGGGCAGGGAUCCUGUGAAUCAAGGAUAUGCAGAGCAGGUCUGGCUUCUUUGUUCACUAGAGGAGCAGGUGGGGUGGACACAGUGCCGCCUCCAAAGAGAUGAGAGGUGCAUUGAGUCAGAUGCCACAGCACAGAGGUCCCAUAGCCAGGUCCAGUGGAACCAGAUUUGGGUUACUUUAGGUGAAACAGCUUUCUGUCAUCAAUGGUGUCGCACAACAGUUUAAUAAGUUUCCCGUUGCUGGAGGUGUGCAAAAGAUGCCAAUCAGAGAUGCCCCCAGAGUAUACCUACCCAGUGUCGUGACCCAGGAGGUUCCUUCCAAUUCUAAGACUCUGAUUUAGUUCCCCUAAGUCAAGGCUGCCUGGGGAAGAAGAAAGUUCAGUAUAUGAUCUCAAAGUGCAAUAUCCAAGUCCUUUGUUGACAUCUUGGACAAUAAAGUGUAACAUGAGAAAUAAAAGCCAGAAGAGAAUAUUGGUAUAUGGUUACUGGUUUCAAAAUGGUUCAAAUUUUCUAAGCAUAGAAGC
rnacentral:lncRNA from 1 species